AAGUGUUGGCAGGAGGAGGAGGAUCUUGUGGGCAACAAGAGGAAGUGGGACAAGACUGGGUUCUACCCAUAUGACUCUGAUGAAGAUGAGCCGUACGAGUAUGAAUCUGGAGAUGAUGUGGAUGAGGGGAACGUCGAGUCCUUUAAAGAGAAGGAGGUGCAGAAGAUUAGGGCCCAAGGAUCUGCCAUGUACUACAACUGGAGGAAGGACAAGUAUAGGUGCCCCUACUGCAGCAAGCCCAAGCCCAGGUCUAGGUUGCAGGAGCAUCUGAUGGAGCAUUGUCGGGCUACAUCCAUCAGCAGUCAUGACUACAAGAUGGCUCAACAUUCUGCCCUCCACAAGGUCCUGAAUAACGCUAACCUCUAG
rnacentral:rRNA from 1 species